rnacentral:snoRNA from 1 species
AGAUUUUAUUUAUUUAUUUGUGGCUACAUUGAGACACAGGUUAUGCUUCCAUCACAGCAAGUUUAUUGCUGUGGUGACAAUGAGGCCUGUAACAUUU